rnacentral:misc_RNA from 1 species
GGUGAUGGUGGAUGUGUGGUGGGGGAUUGUGGAGAGGGAGAGGCCGGGGGAGUAUGAGUGGGGAGGGUAUGCGGAGCUGAUGGAAAUGGCGAAGAAGGUUGGGUUGAAGGUGCAGGCGGUGAUGUCUUUUCAUCAGUGUGGCGGUAACGUAGGCGACUCCGUUACGAUACCGCUGCCGAAAUGGGUGCUGGAGGAGAUGGAUCAGGACCCCGAUCUCGCCUACACCGACCAGUGGGGCCGCCGCAACUACGAGUACGUCUCGCUCGGCUGCGACACACUCCCCGUCCUCAAAGGUCGUACACCGGUACAAUGCUAUGCGGAUUUCAUGCGUUCGUUUCGUGACCGGUUCGAGCCCUUCCUCGGCUCCACCAUUGUGGAGAUCCAGGUGGGCAUGGGACCAGCGGGCGAAAUGCGGUACCCAUCGUACCCAGAGCUAGACGGCACCUGGAAAUUUCCGGGAAUUGGCGCCUUCCAAUGCUACGACAAGUACAUGCUGAGCAGCCUCGGUGCGGCCGCCGAGGCCGCCGGAAAGCCCGAGUGGGGCCAGGGUGGCCCCACCGACGCCGGCAGCUACAACAACUGGCCAGAGGACACCCCAUUCUUCCGCCGCGAGGGCGGCUGGAACAGCCCCUACGGCGACUUCUUCCUCUCCUGGUACUCGAACAUGCUCCUCGCCCACGGCGAGCGCAUCCUCUCCGCCACCACCGCCAUCUUCGACUGCAAUACCGUCAAGAUCUCCGUCAAAGUCGCCGGCAUUCACUGGCACUAUGGAACGCGGUCCCACGCCCCCGAGCUCACCGCCGGGUACUACAACACCCGGUUCCGCGAUGGGUACGCCCCCAUCGCCCAAAUGCUCGGGCGACACGGGGCGAUAUUCAACUUCACGUGUGUCGAGAUGAAGGACUGGGAGCAGCCGGGGGAGGCGAUGUGCCGACCGGAGGGGCUGGUGAAGCAGGUGGCGGCAGCCGCGAGGGAGGCGGGGGUGGCACUGGCGGGGGAGAAUGCGCUGCCGAGGUUUGAUGAGACGGCGCAUGAGCAGAUUGUGAGGACGGCGGCGGGGGAGGCGGAGGUGAUGAUGUGUGGGUUUACGUAUUUGCGGAUGACGCCGGAUUUGUUCCAGCCGGAGAAUUGGAGGAGGUUUGUUGCGUUCG